AACAUCUCGAUCUCUCUCUCUAACCUCACUGACACACGCCGGCAGACACGACGUAAGUCGCGCCGCCGCGUCGCUCUCCCUCUCGCCGGCAGCACAGGCCCACGGCCAUUGAGGAACCGCCGUCGCCGGAGACAGCCCAGGUAAAACCCUAACUUCUUUCAUUUUCUUUUUCUUUUUCCUCAUCUUUUUCCCUUUUUUUUUUAAAUUAAAAUCUGAAAUCCCUCCUCUCUUUCUCUCUUGGCAGAACGGAGACCACCUCGGCUCCGUCGCCGUCCGUUGACCGCCGGCAGCCACCGCGGCUGCCGUCCCCUGACCUCGACUCACACACACAGCAGGGGUUCAAGCCUCAAAUUCAGUCAUAGCAUAGAUGAUUUGAGCAAAAUUCAUACAUAGUCA
rnacentral:lncRNA from 1 species